GGACAUGUGCCCGAGAAUUAAGGGUCACUUUGAUAGAGUGUAUUACAGGGGUGAAAGUCCCCUCAUCUCCU
rnacentral:tRNA from 1 species